CAGUAGCCGCGGGAAUACGUAGGUGGCAAGCGUUGUCCGGAUUUAUUGGGCGUAAAGCGAGCGCAGGCGGUUUCUUAAGUCUGAUGUGAAAGCCCCCGGCUCAACCGGGGAGGGUCAUUGGAAACUGGGAAACUUGAGUGCAGAAGAGGAGAGUGGAAUUCCAUGUGUAGCGGUGAAAUGCGUAGAUAUAUGGAGGAACACCAGUGGCGAAGGCGGCUCUCUGGUCUGUAACUGACGCUGAGGCUCGAAAGCGUGGGGAGCAAACAGGAUUAGAGACCCCAGUAGUCCCUGUCUCUUAUAC
rnacentral:rRNA from 1 species